AUUAGGGCAGCUAAAUUGGCACGAGCAAGAGACUUAAAAUCUCCAUAUGAAGGUUCAAAUCCUUCCCCUAACC
rnacentral:tRNA from 1 species